AGAGUUUGAUCCUGGCUCAGGAUGAACGCUAGCGGCAGGCCUAACACAUGCAAGUCGAGGGGCAUCAUGGCGUAGCAAUACGCUGAUGGCGACCGGCGCACGGGUGCGUAACGCGUAUGGAACCUACCCACCGCAGGGGGAUAACCCGCCGAAAGGCGGACUAAUACCCCAUGGUUCCCCGACCCUGCCUGGGGUUGGGGGUAAAGCCUACGGGCGGCGGUGGAUGGCCCUGCGUGCCAUUAGCUGGCUGGUGGGGUAACGGCCCACCAGGGCGACGAUGGCUAGGGGGUCUGAGAGGACGAUCCCCCACACUGGUACUGAGACACGGACCAGACUCCUACGGGAGGCAGCAGUGAGGAAUAUUGGUCAAUGGGCGGAAGCCUGAACCAGCCAUGCCGCGUGCGGGAUGAAGGCCCUACGGGUUGUAAACCGCUUUUCCCCGGGAAGAAUAACCCCCAUGAGUCGGGGGAUGCCGGUACCGGGGGAAUAAGGAUCGGCUAACUCCGUGCCAGCAGCCGCGGUAAUACGGAGGAUCCGAGCGUUAUCCGGAUUUACUGGGUUUAAAGGGUGCGUAGGCGGGUGGCUCAGUCGGCGGUGAAAUGCAGCGGCUCAACCGUUGCCCUGCCGUCGAAACUGGCCGCCUUGAAUUCGGUCGAGGCCGGCGGAAUGCGCGGUGUAGCGGUGAAAUGCUUAGAUAUCGCGCGGAACGCCGAUUGCGGAGGCAGCUGGCUGGACCGAGAUUGACGCUGAUGCACGACAGCGUGGGGAUCGAACAGGAUUAGAUACCCUGGUAGUCCACGCCGUAAACGAUGAUGGCUGGGUGUUGGCGAUACACUGUCAGCGCCUGAGCGAAAGCAUUAAGCCAUCCACCUGGGGAGUACGAUCGCAAGGUUGAAACUCAAAGGAAUUGACGGGGGC
rnacentral:rRNA from 1 species